GUGAAUGCAAGCUAGACAGCACGCUCUUCACAUGCUUCCAAAUCAUAAUAUGACUCACGAGGUCUGCAUGAUCAGCCUUCUGCUGGAACGAAAAUGAGGGCAUAGCCUCUCUAAGACUUAUCUGGAAUGAGGAACUCUCAACGCGGAAUUGACUCCAUCCUAAGGGAUGGCAGGCAAGCCUGUAGGGCAUUUUCUUGAUUAAUGACUGACGUGGGAGGACUUGGCUCACUGUGAGCAAUGCCGCCUCUGGACUGGCGGAAAGCAGGCUGGGCACGUCGGACAAGACAUAUAGUUCUGGCUUCACUCUAACACAGGCGAAUAUCUGCUUAUCCAGCACACUUGUUGAAGAGACUGUCUUUUCUCUGACCCGUGUUUUCCUCAUUUUUGUCAGAUGAUGUCAAUAUCCAAGGAAACCCUGAGAGCUGCAUCUAAAGGAUGAUAGAAGCUUUGUCAUCCCCGGUCCUUGGAUGAAUAAGAACUUUCCUCCACUAUCGACUUCAUCUCACGCAAAGCCUGGUGGAGUUCAUGUUGGGGAGAUGAAGCUAGCCAAGUCAUGACCUUAGCUAAGUCAAGUUUCCAGUAAACGGUAGAACCUAAAUAUGAGGUCAUUUGUUUUUGGCUCCCUCUGUAGUGAGCGAAGCUACAGGAACUACAUCCGUCCACAUGACUUGCUUGAAAAACAGAGGUACCCAAGGAAACGACGUUAGCUGUUUUUCUUUCUGUUGCUCCCUGUACUACCCAAGUACAGCCGAUUGUAUGUAUUGGGUUAGAUGACUAAUGUUGAGUUUCUACAAUUCAUAUUGAGCCGUAGAAUGAUAAUAAUGAAGCAAAAAAUUAUUUAUAUAAUAAUAAAAGCAUAGCUGGCCAUUCCCUGCUAUUCUGUGCUACUACUGGGUUAACAGUCUCAGACUGCAACCCUUCUCCCUGCCUCUGAAAGUCUUUCUUGGCUUGUCUUCACCACUUUAGGUAAACAUCAUGCCACUGGAUUGCAACAUCCAGCAUUUUUUGCUCAAAAGCCAUCUGUGGGCACGGUGGGCAUGCUUUAAGAAGGACUUGCCAAGCACGAUCGGUCUUCUUCAGGGUCCUCUGGCUGGCCUGGAAGAAAUGAAGACGUUCUAAAGUGCACCUCUCAAUCUGCCCAUCGGACUACUGAAAGAGUGCACCCCAAAGAAAUGGCAGUUUCACUGAGAUGCUCAUGCUGGGAUAAGGAAGAGAUACCAGUGGCAGGGUGGUGGUACUUGUCUCUUGAGGUUUCACACAGUUCUAACAACUUCUUCGACUGCCUUACAGGAGCAAGAUGGAAGCACGGUCAGUGGUAGGUGGGACCACACCUUGGCAGGAACCUCUUAGAGGUGCAUUUCUUUGGCGCUCUAUUGUGAAGGCACACACAGGUGUGAGCCUGUUGCACCUUGACUAAAGGGCAGAGAGUUUGAGCCUAUUUUUGCUCUUUCAAAGUUGUUGACAACAGGCAUGGCUGCAAACAAGCGAUACUGAUCUAGAGUGUGGUUAAUUAGUAUUUUGGGUAUAGAGGUGAUCUGCUCCACCUGGACCAAAGGUCAGAGAAUUCGAGACUAUUCUUUAUGCCAUGUUAAUGAAGUCUGUUGCUUCCUCCCUCCCCUUUUGGGGUGAAGUAUAUAAGCAUGUGGGGGAAAAUGUGGGGUUCAGUAUUCACUGUAUGCCCCUCCUGAUGCUGUCCUGUGUUUCUGUCUCUUAUUUCUCUCAUAUCUCUGUUCUUUUUGCUUAAUAAUUCUAAUCCUCACAUUCCUACCUUGGAACAUAGGAAUUUU